rnacentral:rRNA from 1 species
UACGUAGGGUGCGAGCGUUGUCCGGAAUUAUUGGGCGUAAAGAGCUUGUAGGCGGCUUGUCGCGUCUGCCGUGAAAAUCCGGGGCUCAACCCCGGACUUGCAGUGGGUACGGGCAGACUAGAGUAUGGUAGGGGAGACUGGAAUUCCUGGUGUAGCGGUGAAAUGCGCAGAUAUCAGGAGGAACACCGAUGGCGAAGGCAGGUCUCUGGGCCGCUACUGACGCUGAGAAGCGAAAGCAUGGGGAGCGAACAGG